rnacentral:rRNA from 1 species
GUGUCAGCAGCCGCGGUAAUACGAGGGGGGCAAAUGUUGUUCGGAAUCACUGGGCGUAAAGGGAGCGUAGGCGGGUGUUUAAGUUAGGUGUUUAAUCCCGGGGCCCAACCCCGGUCGUGCACCUAAAACUGGGCAUCUUGAAUAGUGGAGAGGUCAGUGGAAUUGGGGGUGUAGCGGUGGAAUGCGUAGAGAUCCCCAAGAACACCAGUUGCGAAGGCGGCUGACUGGACACAUAUUGACGCUGAGGCUCGAAAGCAUGGGGAGCAAACAGGAUUAGAAACCCCCGUAGUCC